CUGGCGGUUGGUUGUUUGGUUGCUCCCUGCCGUCGCAUCCUUCUUCGCAACCUCUGGUGCCUUCCUUUGCAAGCUCCGAGGCCAAUCUCAUAGACUCGAUAUCGGUUUCUGGUUUCCUAAGGAAGCUUCGGGUCGGCAGGUCCAUAGCCCUCUGCUAGGUUUCCUGCAGCUCCCAUCAAAAUACAAAGCCCACAUCAUCGCACUGAAACGACCUUCGUACCUGCUUCCCAACCUCUACACUAGUUGCUUAGCGACCCAUCCAACAGAAGUAAAAUACCAGAACCCUUCGUGCCGGUAAAGCACUGGGUGCAGUCUGACACAUGCAUCUUUCAUAUGGAUCCAGUAUUACUGCCACCAAAAAGUGUGGGCCAAAUUUAAUGACUUGCUUCUAAUGAAAAAAAACAUGGCAGAAGUGAGGACGUGAGACCUCCAAGACGUGCUCUUAAAAGGUGAACUUUUCCUGAAGCAACAAAUGUCAAAUAGCCCAGCUGACUAAAUGUGGGAACGACCAAAUCAUGCAAGGACAGGAGGUUUUCAGUCCUUUAAAUUCUGCCCCGAGGAUUUUCAAAACUGCAAUUAUCCUGAUGGGAAAACCAGCCUCCUGUCUGAUGACCCUCCAGUCUCUAAUGUUGUCACUCCAGGUUCAUGAGAUGGCCAAGAACU